rnacentral:rRNA from 1 species
CAGCAGCCGCGGUAAUACGAAGGUGCAAGCGUUAAUCGGAAUUACUGGGCGUAAAGCGUGCGUAGGCGGUUUGUUAAGUCUGUUGUGAAAUCCCCGGGCUCAACCUGGGAAUGGCAAUGGAUACUGGCAAGCUAGAGUGUGUCAGAGGAUGGUGGAAUUCCCGGUGUAGCGGUGAAAUGCGUAGAGAUCGGGAGGAACAUCAGUGGCGAAGGCGGCCAUCUGGGACAACACUGACGCUGAGGCACGAAAGCGUGGGGAGCAAACAGGAUUAGAUACCCCGGUAGUCCCUGUCUCUUAUACA